ACAGCCUUACAUAAUUCUUUAAAUACUAGGUAUUUAGAAUUAUAUAGCUAAACAAAUAUAGCACAUAUGUGCAACGACUGAACAUCAAAAAAUCUAAAAGUCUAUAUUAGAUUUAUCGAAAACAACUGACUGUCUUUGUUUUGAUGCUUUGUGCACAGUAUAACUUUGUCAAAGGAUCGUGUUAAAUAGAUUUCGAAACGAUAUAUAUUUGGUUUCAUGUUCAGCGAACUGAUAAAUUAAUGUCAAUCUAUACAAUAAUUUGUGAAUAGCAUUACUCCCAUUAGGGACCGUUCAUUAUUUAUACCCGGGGUUGGUACCGAAGAGAUAUGGGUUGCGUAAUCAAGUUUUUGACUAGCUCAUGGAUUGGGUAAAAAAAAUUAUGGCUGUCUGUCACAGGGCCUUUUUUAAGAAUUUUCCCGUGGGGGGGAUUUUUUGAAAAGGGACCUUUCUGUGAGAUAAUAUAUUACAGGGAGAUAGCAAUGGCUGAAGGCCACGUGUGCGCCGAAUAUACCAUGCACGCAUGAAUGAGGGGGGGUGUACUUCCCCAGAAAAAUUUUGAAAUUUGAAGCACAAAAAUGCCAUUUCCUGCAUUCUGAGCAUCCAAAUGCGCUCCAAAAUUAAAUAAAAGAAGGAAAAACCCCACAAAAAGUUUAAAAAAAAAUAUUAACCAUAAUUUAUCAUUACUUAUUAGAGGAGGAUCUCAAUGGUCACGUGUGUGGGGGUGUACUCCCCCAGAAAAUUUUUGAAAUUUGAAACACGGAAAUGCCAUUUCCUGCAUUCUGAGCAUCCAAAUUUGCUCUAAAAUUUAUGCUAACUAUACUUGUAUUUGAAAUAAAAGAAGGAAAAAAUGCACAAAAAGUAAAAUAGAAUAUUAACCAUAAUUUAUCAUUAUACUUAUUAGAGGGGGAUACCAAUGCCCGAAGGCCACGUGUGUGGGGGCAUAAUCUCCAGAAAAUUUUUCAAAUUUGAAACCUGGAAAUGCUCUUUCCUGCCUUCUGAGCAACCAAAAAAUAAAAAAUUAUUAACAAUAAUUUAUCAUUACUUAGUGGUAGAAAAACGUAACAAUUUAGAUCGAUUUUGUUAAACAAGGACAAAGGAUAAAGCCUAAAACUUACUUUCCGUUUAUUUAUUUGUUAUUCUUCGCUGUUUUGUUGGUAUACAUUUAGGAAAAAGGGACUUUUCCUGGGGGGGCAAAAUGUGAUUUCGU